UGCUAAGAACACUGAUGCACAAGUGAUUGUGUGGACACACACAAUCUCUUUUGGGUAAAUUGGUAGAAUGACUGAGUUGAUUAGUACAUGAUGCUAUCUUGGACCUCUUCAGUUUUGUCCCACAAAAUGAGGCACUUUAUUCUCAAAUACGUACGAGAGCUGAGACAGCCAUUAUCUUUCUGCAAGAAAUCUGCAAGCUUCACACAAAGUAAGGAGAAAUAUAAGGAAUGACACUUCUCAAAUGCAGGAAUGGCUGUGUGCCCAGAUUACCAAAGCAGAAGAGAAAAGAGGGCAGACAAAGAAAUACAGAAAGAAGAAAUCUACAAAAGAUAAGAUAAGAGACAAGGAGAAUUUUAUCCCUUUUUAUUGAUUCAUUAUACCUUUGGCCCAAGUCUGUGCCCUUGACCAACAUGCAGAAAUCAAGAGGAAGAUCUAUCAGCUUCAUGGCAUCUGGAUCAAAUGAGCAUCCUGAGGAAAUGUUUUAUCACUGCACAGCUGCUGUUUCUAUGAUCUCUUUAGUUUCGAGCCACCUCAAUAUCAGCUAUAGCCAUGCCUACCUGCUUCAGAGAUCUGAAAAGCCCAGUUUUCUUCCUGGAACCCAAGCAGAAGCAGGAUUUUUCACAUAGGAACAAAAGUGUUUUGGUCCUGUUUCUCACAUAUACUAGCUGUGGGAUCUGGAUAAAAUUAAUUUAUCUUUGUUUUGAUUUAUUUACUCAUAAAAGAGAAAUGCAUGUAGAAGAAAUGUGUAUUAAGUAUUAACAAUAGGAAAUAUCAUGGGUUUGCAGUGGGUAUGUACUUUUUGAAGAGUCAUACUAUACAAAGAGUAAAAAGUUUGGUCUUCAAGUGAGGUAAACGAGCUGACCUGUCUCCCUGAAUCUUUUGCACUGAGUUACAUUUUUUGGAUAAAAUACACCUUAGCACCUUCCCUCUUCCCCCCCCCCACUUUAAUUAUCUGACCUCUGAGUAAAAAAAAUAUCUCCCCUGUUUCUACUUACCAUAACAAAGAAGGAAAGGUUGCAUUUUUCCAAAGAACUUUCAAAGCACAAAGAGAAUAAAAAUGAUGAUGGAAACAAAAAAUACUAACAUUAUAUUAGCAUAUGAUAUACAUACACAUAUGUUUCUGAUGCUGACUUCAGUUAAUUGUACCCAGGGACAAAGGAAACUAUUCUCUGAGGAGAUGCACACACACACACACACACACACACACUUCAAAGAACAGAUAGAAGUUAUGUUUUUCUUGUUUGUUAGCUACAAGUCUAUCUCCAUAUUUUAGGAACUAUCAUGGAAUACACACAUAAAAAAUAUCUCAUAGAUAUCUUGUCCUCUUUGUUCAAAUACAAAAAUGAGUUCUUAAUCUUUCCCUACCUAGGACUUUAUUUAAUUCUGAGAUCAUGAUGAAAAAAGUACUAUUUACACACACACACACACACAACCUCUUUCUUUAACUAUGGUCCUACCACCUGUAUGCAGAGAGCAAAUUUUUCCCUGUAUUGAUCCAAUAUAUAAAAAGCAGGAAAGUCCAAAAAGUAUUUUAUGGCUGUGGAAUGGUCAAGCAGGGAUAAAAAAAAAACACUAUUCUAACAAGUAGAAACUCCUACAACAUGGUUCACAAAGUGGCUGUGAAGGCUAAAUACAAUAGCAUAUAGGAAGAUGCUAAGUAAGCUGUAAAGCAAUAUGAGAAGUCUGUUUAAAUCUGAAACAAGACAAUUUUAUUUUGUAGGGAAGAAAUGCAUUCAGUAGUUGAACAAUGUCUGUUUACCCUUAGGUACCUGUUAAUAUUCCGAAGCUGGCUGCUCAGUUUGCUUUCUGAUUUGUUUCUUUACCAAUAUCUACUCCUGAGGGGUAUUCAAAAUACUUAACAAUAGAAAGGCAAAGUUACUGGUCACUCAGAAUGGAUGCUGCUUGUGAACAUCUCUCGUUACUGGUACACAAGGAUUGAAUAUCAGACCACCUGCAUCAGCUAGAGAGUGAAAGGAAGGCAAAUGAUUUCAUUGUGGUUCUGACUCAUUCAUUAUCUGAGUUAAUAUCUAAUAAAGGAAUAUGUUUUGAAUAUUAGCUAGCAUGAUAUUUAGAAUGGAUUAUAUGCUGCAUUUUGUGUUCCGUGGGUUUGAGGAGGAAAGGAACACACAAGCAGUGCGUGUACAGGAAGAAGUAAUGCCUCAGCUCGUUUUUGGUGACUUUAUUUGUACUCACCCAUCACGGCAUGGCAUUCAGUACACUCUCACUGACUUAUCACAAUGUCCUCAUGAGUUGUAUAAUUUCAGUUUAUUUCAUAUGAUGGAAAUGUGAAGCAUGCAGAGGUUAAGAGCUUGUCCCCUUUGUAGGCCCUGGUGCCAGGAAUAGCUAUGCAUGUUCCAAAUGUUGACAGUUGCCCUUUUCUCUUGAAGUGGUGAAUAUGGUAAAUAGAGGCACAACUCUUUUUGGAGCUUUUCUUAACUUUAGGAGAGAGAAAGCAAAAAACCUCACCUCCCAGGUUUCCCUAUAGGUACUUUGCAAAAUAUGAUUUGUGUUUGGACACUCUGAUGAUUUUUGUGAAUUCUGGAAGAUGGAAAUAAAGGCUUCAUUUUGUUCUCUUGAGUUUCUGCUGGUAGGCAGUCAAUGGGCUAUUAGGGUCACUUUGUCAGUGUUAGCAGAGAUGUUGGUAUCCAUCCAGCCUCUAGCUUCCUAGAUGUCUAGAGGGAAGGUGAAGUAUGUUAUUUCUGUUAUGAUUCAAAAAGGGCAGGAUACUUCAUUCAUGAGUUUUCUGGCAAGUUUUGUAGUUGUGGUUACUUCCUGAUGAAAGCAUUUUCUAGACUUCAAUAGCUUACUCACAGUAGCAAUAGCAGUGUAAACUGCUGGCCAGGUUCUGCAGUAUAUCUUUUGGUGUCAGUCCUGAGCGUUCAGUUAGAAUCUGUUGAGCCCCACCAACAAUUCUAGAAGCCAUGUCCUAAAACAUAGGGAAAUAUGUAUUGCUCAAACUACCUGGAGUAGAUACUGUUUUCUAAAACUAAACCUGGACUGAAACUAUAAUUGGAACCAGUAGGGACUGUAGGUAGGACACUAAAGGACAUGAGAAUUUGAGUUUCAUUAUCUGAGCCAAUUAGAUGUGCAUGAAGAGAUGUUUCUAUUAGCACUGUAAUCCAAGGGACCAAUGGUAGACACUAUAUUUAAUUAUACAAAGGAUGGUUGAAGGCAAAGAUUAAGUGGACAAGUGGCUAUUCGCCACUGAGGGUCAUUAUUGCACAAGUCAAGAAUACAAGAACUGUGAAUGUGAUGGAGAGCUUAAAGGAAGCAAAUGGUAAGCCCAUGGUUUUAUAGUCUCAGCUGAAGCCAUGGGGACAGGAGACCAGGACACCUUCUAUGAUUAUUGUCACAUAGCACCUUAUUUCUUCUCACUUUAAGGCAGAUAUAUGUUUAUGUUUACAGCUGGGUCUGAUUCUGAGAGCUACUGAAUGACAACAAAUUUGAAUGCUUAAACUGGCCAUUGAAAACUGGGGAGUAUUUGAGAAAGAGUUGGGCUUCAAGAGUUUAAGAACUUUAAAACAGAUUUGGAUGAUUCAGAGUAUCCGUGACCGAGAACAAUGACAGCAGAAAUAAACCCUAUUUCCUCUGGUGCAGUCAGGUCAUGUUAUUUAGACUUGAACCCUAAAACAGCUUCACCUAAAGAUUUAUUCUGUAAAGGGAAGCCAUUUAUCCUCACCUCUAUUGCCACCUCUCAGACCUAUAGCUCACCAGACCCCAGGGGGACAAAAAUAAAGUUUGACCUUAAAGGACAGUUAUACACCAAAAACUUCAAAGAUUUGCUAAUUUAUAUCAGCAAGAAUCUAGGUACUAUGUGUGUAAAUUGACUUUUUGUGUCAUUACCUAAGUAUAAGGACCAAAAUUUUAUAUUGAUCCAAGUUUAGGACAUCUUUAUCAGAGAUUCUGCAUUCAAAGAAUUAAUUUAUGGAGCUGGUAGUGGUUUUACUAGCUUCUCAGUACAGACUGAAAUCUAGACUCAGGGGCAGACUAUGUCAAGUGAAGUUGAAACACCAGAAACUUCUGGGUAUAAUAGAAAGAAAGGAUUCUAAAUAUUCAGGGAGAAAGCAAUGCGCACAUUAUGUGUAAGCUACACAUUAAGCCCACACAUCCACCCCUUUGGAAGAUCUGGACAACACUCCUUCACUAAGGCUUAAGAAAUACAUGAAUGGCAUUCUACAGUAUGGGAGAAUAUGUUUGUAAAUAACAUAUCUGAUAAGGGGUUAACAUCCAAGAUAUAUAAAGAACUCACACAC